CCGCCCAGUGCAGAAAGCAAUCCUGCUUUUGGCUGCUUUGGUAUCGGGAUGUAGUAGAACUUUCGGUAUUUCCAACGCAUGUCUGCCUGCACACUGCCAUGCUCCCCGUCAUGAUGAUAAUGGACUGGACUUCUGAAACGGACUGUGGAACUGUGGAUUGAACCUAGAGCUUUGCACACGUUACCAAACUAACCACUCAGGGAGUCUGUCCUCUUUAACCUUGUAUGGAAGGAGUGUUUUCCCAAGCGGCUGGAUUUCAGAAGUGAGGAGCUGGCUCUGACUGGUUUGCAGAAGUGUGUUCUCUGAGGCAAGCCUUCCUUGGUGGAUUAAGUCCAGACUCCGGACCGUGAGAUGGUGCUACCCAGAUCCAGGGUGUAUCUCUGUGGGGAUGCUCUCGCAUGCACAUACCUCCUCAUUGAUUGAAACCUCAGUCCAGGUGGCCUUGAAGAUUAAUCAUCACAGUAGCAGCCAACCCACUGCCCUGAGCUUUACAGGAUCUUCCACGUCCUCAGAUGCCAGCCUGAAAAUUAUACCCAACAUAUCCACACCUCCCUCACUACCUCAUUCUCCUACUUUGGUGUAGAUUUAUUUCAAAGGUUAUUGUCUAAUCAACUAAAAUGCGUCUAAAUACAUUUUCCCCCUAUAGUUCUAAUUUCAGAGUCACCAACGUGCUCUCUUGAAUUUAAUUGUUUAAAAAGGCUGCAGCUGUGGGGUGACAGACAUUUUUAAGAAUUAAGUGGCUGUCCAGUUCAGGUUUUAACUUUUUCUACUUAGUGUUAGAAGCAAUUCCUGUGUCUUUUGAAAAUCCUGCUCGUUUGAAGUAGGUUUUACAAGCAAUCGAUGCCCCUUGGUCUAGCUGUGGGUCCGGAGGCUUUGUUGGAAUUGUUAUGGUGGCCUUAUGUCCUUUGCCAUAUGCAGGACCAGGACAUGGAGGAGUGUGUGUUGCAGUUAUUUGAAGCUUCAAUCAAAUUAUACACCAGGAGUUCCUGCCAUUUUUGUUGCUGAGUGAUGUCCUAUGCUAUUGAUGUGCCAUUUAUUGACAAACUAUUUAUCCUGUGGCGUACAACUGGUUAUUUUCAGAUUUGGAUUAUUAUGAAU
rnacentral:lncRNA from 1 species